rnacentral:tRNA from 2 species
CAGAAAAUGGUUCAACUGAGAAUUCUAGCUUUGGGAGCUAGAGGUGGGAGUUAGAAUCUCUCUUUUCUGG